UAUCUUUGCUGCCGAAUUGGUUCCGGGCAGAGUUCUUCCUCUAUCCGGAUGAAAAGGGAAUCGGGUGCAAAUCCCGGACAGUCCCGCUGCUGUGAAGCUCCGUUUAUAAAUUACGAUAAAUACUAUAAUAACCACUGGCUGCUUUGAGGAGACGAAGCGCCGGGAAGGUAUCGGAAAUGAGGAGUCAGUCAGAAGACCUGCCGUUCAUCAAAGGCUGUU
rnacentral:ncRNA from 2 species